AACUUGAACUUAGGAAAGA
rnacentral:tRNA from 1 species